GUUUCAUUGUAACAUUUGUCAUAAAGUAAGCACAUCAUCAUUUAUUAGUUGAAUCAGAAUCAGAUACGUAUAAAUUGAGCAUUAUUGUUUGUGUAUAUUAUAAAGAUUAUUUGGACUAAUAGCAGUAUGCUUCGUUGGAUCAUUCUAGCUGCUCUUUUGGCCUUGGUAAGCACACAGUGUAACGAUUUCGCUUUCCAAUAUGAAUGUCUGCAGAACGCAAACCGGAAGUUGUCUGUCUGUAAGCAGUGCGAGAAUACUUUGGUAUCCAGACUUCAAUGUGAGCUAAACUGUCUACAGGAUGCAUAUAGAAGAGUAACACACUGUAUCAUUCUGGAGUGAAAACAGCAACAUGAGAAUAAAA